CCCCCGCCGCAGCCGCAGCCCCAGAAGACGCCGUCGCAGUCGAUCUAGAAGCAGGAGUCGCUCUAGAUCCCGCAGUCGGUCCCGCUACAGUCGGUCCAAGUCCCGGUCUCGCACACGCUCUCGGUCUCGUUCCACCUCGAAGUCCAGAUCUGCCCGGAGGUCCAAGUCAAAGUCCUCAUCUGUCUCCAGAUCACGGUCCAGGUCAAGAUCUCGGUCCAGGUCUAGAAGCCCUCCACCUGCCUCAAAGAGGGAAUCUAACUCCAGAUCCAGGUCAAAGAGCCCUCCCAAGUCUCCAGAGGAAGAAGGAGCCGUAUCCUCUUAGGAAAAUGGUAAUGUACUUUGGGAACAGCAAACGUUGCAUGUUACUUUAUUGUAGCACUUCAGUGGGGUGUUGGGCAAAGUAUUAAUAGCCUGAACCAAGUGAAUCGUAGUGGGGCACGUUACUAGCUGUUCUUUUCUUUUCUUUUCUUUUUUUGUUUCUUUUUUUUUUUCUUUAAACAGUGCUGUGUGGUUAUUGAUUAGGGAAAUUAAUACCAAAGGGCUUUCUGCAGAGGACAUUUUCUUGUUUUGUUGAGAUUAAUGGCUUGACUUUUAUAAAAUAAUGUAUGAGACGCAACCUAUUAUGAAAAUGACUAUUUCUUACUGUAUUUAUCCAACAUCUGCAUUUUCCCCUUUAAAGCUGCGGUCUCCUGUUUGCUAAAAGAAUAUUGGCCAGUAUUGCAGAUUUUAACUGAUUUGGCUGAUCCUCCAGGGACCAGUUUCUGUGGGCGUGUGUUGGAGCAGGUUUGUCUUUAAAUGUUAAAGAUGCACUAUCCUUUUAUAAUGGAACAUCGCUUCAGUGACCAUUAUACUGACUGGAGGUAACUGUUCUAGAAAAGUGGCAAAUUCACUGCAACGAGAAAAAGAUGGAAACUAGUUUUUCCUCAAGUCAAGAUCUUGAAGAGGCUUCUGAGGAUAACACUGGGUGGGGAAAGGAUAGUGUGUCUUUAACCCCUCAAACUGUUUGGUCCUAUUUUUAAAAGGAGAGGGCCUAAGUUAGCUCUGAAGUUAGAUAACUGUAGCAAAACUCGUGACACUUUGCUUUUGAGAGCUAAUUAAAGUUUAGUUAAGUCUCUUAUCGAGAAGAACUAGUUUUACGUAACUUUAAUAUAACUUUUGUAGUUUAUUAAGGAACAGGCUGAAUUCAAGUUAAUGGUGGUUUGAUCUACAGCCUGAUGUUUAUUCUUCCUUGUAAUUAAAUACUUUUACAAAAUCUCACAUUUGGCCUCAGUAUUAAAGCAACACUGGGGGGGGAGGUGGAGCACUGUGUAAAUCUUAAAGCUUAACAAUAUUAGGGGAAAGCCAGUUGAAACACACCUAGAAAAUACCUGAAGUCAUCCACAGAACAGCAGAGACAUGGUAGAAACGUAGCUGAACUUUUCUUUCUUCAAACCUAGAUGCAACAGAUAGAGAAUCUACAUAAAGGACGCCUUUGGGGGGAAAAGAUCGCUUGAGUCUUCAGUCCAUUGGAGAGACCCCUGGCACGAGCAACCAGCUGAUGAAAAGGUUAUUUUGUAACAUUUUGUCUAACUUUUUACUUGUUUAAGUUGCGCCUCAAGUGGCAGAUUUUACAUUUUAUGUGCCAUUUUGUUGCUGUUAUUCAAAUUUCUUGUAAUUUAGUGAAGUGAACGACUACCGAUUUCAUUAUUGGCUUGGAUAUUUGAGGUAAAACUUCAUUUUGUUUAUAUAGUGCUGACUUUUAUUUGAAAUUAAACUGGUAACUUGCUGCCUCAAGUUUCAUACUGAGGAGACAUGCAGCCAUUAUACACUGAGUAGCUAACUGUCAAAAAAAAAAAAGUAUUCUCAAUUUUGUCUUCAUUCCUUGAAUAAAAUUCUGCAAGACUUCAAUUUGAAAUUUACUGUAAAUGCUUUUUUUUUUUUAAACUUAGAAUUUAAAUAAUAUCUUAAAUUGGUAGAAAUCUUUUCAGGUGACAGUUGAUUAUUAUAUUUUUUGAAAGGAAUGUUUUAUCAGACUCAAUUCUAAUCUCUUCUCUUAUGUAUUUUUGUGCACUAGGCGCAGUUGUGUAGCAGUUGAGUAAUGCUGGUUAGCUGUUAAGGUGGCGUGUUGCAGUGCAGAGUGCUUGGCUGUUUCCUGUUUUCUCCUGAUUGCUCCAGUGUAACGAUGCCUUGUCGUGCAGAAACAAAUGGCUGUCCAGUUAAUUAAAAUGCCUGACAACUGCACUUCCAGUCACCCGGGCCUUGCAUAAAAAUAAUGGAGCAUACAGUGAGCACAUCUAGCUGAUGAUAUACACACCCUAUUUUUUCCAGAAUGGUAAAUCUCACCAACAUGCAUAUACGAACUUACAUAUGAGAAAUGUAAUGUUAACAAAGAAAUGGUUCAUUCCUUUGUAAGUACUGAUUGGUGUAUCUUUUGCGUAAAGACAUUCUGUACUAUACCCACUGUCUCUGUAGUUUAAUAUUAAACAUUUUUCUGUGUUAACUUUUCUCAACUUAAUGUCUUGAGUCAGCUUAUUUUUAGCUUGAAAAGAUUUCUGCAAUGAUACUGUCAAUGUUUAACUUCUGUAUAGUAACUGAAUGCAUACUACUGCUUCUAAAUAUUAUCCACUGGGAUUGCUUUGAAAUUACUAAGGAAAACUUAAUAGUGUUGUGACUAACCAAAACACUGUAAGAUGAGUAUUGCACAGCAGACUAAAAUCAGGCAGAUCUGCUAGAUGUUGUUGUGGAAGAUACACACUGAGCAGUACUAAUUGCAUUUGCUGUGUGCUUGCUCUGCCUCAACAGGCUGCUGCUUGAUGGUAGCCAAAUCUUCUAGUGAUGAGGGUUUUUUUGAGUUGGAUGCUAAAUGGAUUGUAAUCUCAACCAUCCUUUGUCAAGGGUUAUUGUAAUGCCUUGCUAACUUUAUGCAUGUAUGUUAAAUGGAAAACAUCUGAAUAUUUGAACUCUGGCUUGAUUGAGGAUUAAAAAUACUUUUCUACAAGCUGAGGAGUUUGUAUGUUCCAGGACUGCAUGACUGGCAGCAGUCAGUGUAGAUCCC